rnacentral:rRNA from 1 species
UACAGAGGGUGCGAGCGUUGUUCGGAAUUAUUGGGCGUAAAGGGCGCGUAGGCGGUGCCACAAGUCACUUGUGAAAUCUCCGGGCUUAACUCGGAGCCUGCAGGCGAAACUGUGGUGCUGGAGUGUGGGAGAGGUGCGUGGAAUUCCCGGUGUAGCGGUGAAAUGCGUAGAUAUGACAUAGAACACCUAUUGCGAAGGCAGCUGACUACGGAAAUAUUGACGCUGAGGCACGAAAGCGUGGGGAUCAAACAGG